GACGAACGCUGGCGGCGUGCUUAACACAUGCAAGUCGAACGGAAAGGCCCUGCUUUUGUGGGGUGCUCGAGUGGCGAACGGGUGAGUAACACGUGAGUAACCUGCCCUUGACUUUGGGAUAACUUCAGGAAACUGGGGCUAAUACCGGAUAGGAGCUCCUGCUGCAUGGUGGGGGUUGGAAAGUUUCGGCGGAUGGGGAUCGACUCGCGGCUUAUCAGCUUGUUGGUGGGGUAGUGGCUUACCAAGGCUUUGACGGGUAGCCGGCCUGAGAGGGUGACCGGCCACAUUGGGACUGAGAUACGGCCCAGACUCCUACGGGAGGCAGCAGUGGGGAAUAUUGCACAAUGGGCGGAAGCCUGAUGCAGCAACGCCGCGUGCGGGAUGACGGCCUUCGGGUUGUAAACCGCUUUCGCCUGUGACGAAGCGUGAGUGACGGUAAUGGGUAAAGAAGCACCGGCUAACUACGUG
rnacentral:rRNA from 1 species